rnacentral:rRNA from 1 species
ACCACCGAGAUCUACACUCUUUCCCUACACGACGCUCUUCCGAUCUAAGCGAUCCGGUGGAGUGAUCAGAAGUGAGAAUGUUGACAUGAGUAGCGACAAACAGGGUGAGAGACCCUGUCGCCGAAAGUCCAAGGGUUCCUGCUUAAAGCUAAUCUGAGCAGGGUAAGCCGACCCCUAAGGCGAGGCCGAAAGGCGUAGUCGAUGGGAACCAGUUUAAUAUUACUGGGCCAGGAGAUGGUGACGGAUCGAAAGCGUAGUGACUCCUUAUCGGAUUGAAGUUGCUGCCGGACGGUUCCUGGAAAUAGCCCUCCAUUAGAUCGUACCCUAAACCAACACAGGUGGACUGGUAGAGAAUACCAAGGCGCUUGAGAGAACUACAUUGAAGGAACUCGGCAAAAUGCCUCCGUAAGUUCGCGAGAAGGAGGCCCCAUCAGAAGGCAACUUUUGGUGGGGGGCACAGACCAGGGGGUGGCGACUGUUUACUAAAAACACAGGGCUCUGCGAAGUCGUAAGACGACGUAUAGGGUCUGACGCCUGCCCGGUGCCUGAAGGUUAAAAGGAGGGGUGAGAGCUCUGAAUUGAAGCCCAGGUAAACGGCGGCCGUAACUAUAACGGUCCUAAGGUAGCGAAAUUCCUUGUCGGGUAAGUUCCGACCUGCACGAAUGGCGUAACGACUUCCCCGCUGUCUCCAACAUAGACUCAGCGAAAUUGAAUUACCGGUCAAGAUGCCGGUUACCCGCGGUUAGACGGAAAGACCCCGUGCACCUUUACUACAACUUCACACUGGCAUUAGGCCGAACAUGUGCAGGAUAGGUGGUGGGCUUUGAAGCGUGGACGCCAGUCUGCGUGGAGCCUCCCUUGAGAUACCACCCUUGUUCUGCUUGAUGUCUAACCGCGGUCCGUUAUCCGGAUCCGGGACCCUGUGUGGUGGGUAGUUUGACUGGGGCGGUCGCCUCCUAAAUCGUAACGGAGGCGCGCGAAGGUUGGCUCAGAGCGGUCGGAAAUCGCUCGUUGAGUG